AAAGCGUCAAGCAUGGAUUAAAAAAAGCUUCUGGAGAUCAGGCAAUUCAAGCAAAGAUUUUAAAAAAAGAUAACUUCUGACAAGCCCGUCUUGUGAAUACUUCUCGUUCUUCAAGUGCGAAUCAAACAAAAAAGACUUCUUCUCCAUAGAAGAUUCAAUCCGAGGUACAAUACAAGCGUAACAGUUUCCUCUAGAAUGCGGCUAGUCAACGCUUACAACUAUAUGGACUUGAAGACAGAUGUAAGCCAAUUUUACUUUGCGAUUUUGUUGGACA